rnacentral:rRNA from 1 species
UCGAGGAUCUUCGGCAAUGGGCGCAAGCCUGACCGAGCGACGCCGCGUGUGCGAUGAAGGCCUUCGGGUUGUAAAGCACUGUCGAGGGGGAGGAAGCCGCAAGGUUGACCUAUCCCUGGAGGAAGCACGGGCUAAGUUCGUGCCAGCAGCCGCGGUAAGACGAACCGUGCGAACGUUGUUCGGAAUCACUGGGCUUAAAGGGCGCGUAGGCGGGUCUGCAAGUCCGGGGUGAAAGCCCCCAGCUCAACUGGGGAAGUGCCUUGGAAACUGCCGGUCUCGAGGGAGGUAGGGGCAUGUGGAACUUCGGGUGGAGCGGUGAAAUGCGUUGAUAUCCGAAGGAACGCCGGUGGCGAAAGCGACGUGCUGGAUCUCUUCUGACGCUGAGGCGCGAAAGCCAGGGUAGCGAACGGGAUUAGAUACCCCCGUAGUCC